rnacentral:lncRNA from 1 species
CUCUCCCUCGGCGCAGCCCUGCUCUUCUUUCUCCUCCUCUCUGCCGGUGCUUGGCGAAGCCCUGCCGAGAGACCUCGUCUCUCCAUCGACACCACGCCGUCGUGCUGCUGGAGAUCUUCCCCAACCUCUCCCUCCUCCUUGCUGGAUCAAGGUGCGGGAGACGUCACCGGGCUGCACGUGUGUUGAACGCGGAGGUGCCGUAGUUUGGCACUAGAUCGGAAUC